UGGUGUGACCAUAACAACGUUAAUGCACCGGAUCCCAUCAGAACUCCACUGUUAAGCGCGAUUGGGCUAGAGUUGUACUCGGAUAGGUGACCUUCCGGGAAGUCUUAGUGUUGCACCCU
rfam:Picea glauca, whole genome shotgun sequence.